AUGCACAGGGCACUGCAGGUGGUGGCUAAUUCCACAGGGGUUUUAAUUUUUUUCUCUCUCGUGUGUCCAGAUCCAAGCAUUUUUUCCAAGGCUGGUGCUCGGUUUGGAACAGGUCUGUUUAAAAGGCAAGACAGACAUCCAUGUGCCGCUGCUGGUGAACGUGGCGGGAGUGAGCUCUUAUCUCUGCUGCCAGCAGGCAAUCAGAGAGACUUGGAGUGGCUGCUGCUUCUAACGCCAGCUGUUGCUGCUGCUGCUGCUGCUGCUGCUGCUGCUGCUGCUGCUGCUGCUGCAUGUCCUGAGCUGCAGGGCCCAAGUGAGGUAGCUGGUCCAGCUUGGAAUCAGCCGUUGUUCCUCAAGCCUGUGACCUCCUGCGUCCACAGUGUCCAUUGUAGGCUGAGUUCCCCUAGCUCUUAUGCCCCUGAGCAAGAAAGGGUUGGCCUCUUCCUGCUCUGACUGUGCUCUUCUCCGGGUUUCAACACCAAAUCCUCACCGCCUGGAGGUGCCCUGGCCGUCCCACGGGCCAGCCUCUCCUGACUCGGAGGAACAAUGCCGGAGCUGGAAGACAGGAGAGCCGACCACUCGAGAUACAUAUUUAUUUAAUAGUUAACGUUUUGUGCAAAAAAAGGAGGGAAGUCGGAUUCUGGUGAGGGCUUUGCUUAUUUUAUAUCCACUAUAACUAUUUCUGUCCAUGAAAAUUGGCUUAAUUAUAUCAAUGGAAUGUUUCUUUUUCAAUUCUGUAUGCAAUUAGUCCAUCUUGCCGGCUGCAAUUUAUUUUAAUAAAAAAAUAAACCAGUGGUGUGUUCAGUUCCUCGUCCCCUGGGGACAAAUG
rnacentral:lncRNA from 1 species